GGCUUUAAAUUUGAUUGACAGGUCUCAGGCACAAUCGUACUCUUCCGCUGGUUCGUAGUAGCAGAGCGAAAAUGGCGUAGAGCAGAGGUUGUGCGGAGAAGGGGACGAGGGGACCUUCUUCUCUCCUCUCCGGCAUGUCGGGGGGAGAGAAGGGGGCCUGGGGGUUUUCGGUUUAUUCUUUUCUAAAUGUGUCCCCUACCGGAGCGGUCUGUCUUUACAGAACAGACCCGGCAUACGUCCAGUUUGAGAGACCUAAAUGUGUCAGUGAAGAGGAAGAAACCCCCCUGGCUUUUGUUUACCAUUGUGUGCAGCUGCAGCUCAAACCACAGCCGAAAUAUCUCUGCAUCAUUUCGGACUAACUCACACCAAGGAUGGGUUUUCCAGUUAAUGCAGAUGUAAAACCAGCUGAAGUCCAGACUGGAGGAGCAUUCCCCUUCAGAUCAGCCCCAGUGCCACUGACCAAUCACUCCCACCACCACCACCACCACCACCCAGACCUGUGGAGGUAAAGAACGAAGAGUCAUUGAGAAGAUGACCUCUUUUGAGCUUUUGGGACACAGGUGCCCUCCUUCCUGCUGUUACUGGGACAUUGGCUCUCUUUCUCCUUCACAGCAUCUCCUCUUGUCCUGGCCUGUUUCCGCAGCAUGUUCACCAAUGAGUACAUCCUCCAAGAUUUUGAGCUAGUCUGACUUUCAUCACGCACACUCUGAUUAUAUUUACAUGUAGCCUAAUGCUGGGUAAAAAGCAGUGCAGUUUCUUCAAUUUCUAUAUUUGUCUGAAAGUCUCCAUGAUUUGGGCAUUUUCAGUCAUAUUUUGGUUAGAUUCUUUUCAGGCUGCAUGUAGACAUAGUGACAAUUUUUUCUUGAAUAAGUAAAAAAAAAAAAUCCCCACUUUCACUGUAAUAAGAUCAAAUCAGUUUGAUAAUGAACAAAUUAACUGCUCCUAUUUUCUGGGAAGAAAGUAAAGACACAAGAUACUGUAGCAAAGAUCAAGGCCUGUGAUAAAUUAGAUUCAUAGGAUGUUUUUUGUUGUUUUUUGCACUACCUCAUUGCCAUAACAAGUCCAACAGGAGUGAAAGGGAGUGUGAUCAGUACAAGUAGCCUAAUAGUUGUCAAGCGCCACAGCAGUCUUAAAUAUUGUUCUUGGAUGAAUUUGGUUUUAGUUUCAGUGGGGUUAAUAAAGUGAGGUUGUCAACAGGUGAAUAGGAGAAGACCAAGCAGCCCACAAGCACAUGAUGCGCACUUCAUUUACUUUCAGUUCAGCCAUUUUGAGAAAAAAAAAAAACUGACUCACACAAAGUGUGGUCUCCUAUGCAUCUGUUCUAAAGGAAGGUGACAAGAUUGUAUUUUGACUCCAUGCUCUCAUUUUUACAUUUCGUGUGUAUAGUGCUCUCCUUUGUCAAGUCUGCAGGUUUAUUCACAAGUUGCAGGUAGAGGCAGAAGUGGCGAUAUUUCCCUUGUGACUUCAUUUUUGAGAUCCCCAAAAUUUGGCAACUUAAAGUAUCUAAAUUAAUCUUUCAUUAUGAAAAGUAUAGUCCAGUUUUCUUCUCUUAGGAUCCUCUUCAUUUUGUCUUUGUCUUUCACUCUGCAUUUAGUCUCAUUUUCAGUGUGUUCUUUUCCCCCCUUAAUGUUAGCUUUUAUUCAUCCAUAUCUUAUAACCAUGUAAGAAAUAUAUUAACAGAAUAUUUUACAUGCUGCCAUCAACCAUGAGACAAAAUAAUCCAAAAAUUAAGUGAAAACAUCACAUUCAGUCUUUAAACUGCUGUAAAAUGACACCAGUGCAGAAAUAGCAGCUUUAAUUCACCUUGUCUUUGUCUUUUUCUGAAGGAAACCCUGGUCUCAUUUUUUUUAGUUUUCUUUGUCCAUUUUUAUAUGAUUUAUACAAAGAAGAAAAUCACAUUUACCGGGAUUUGUGCAAUAUUUGAUCUUAACUGUCAUGUUGUUGACCAAACUGUAUAUUGUAUAAAAACAAGUGACAAGUUGUUUGAAAGCAACAAAAUCACCAAUGUCUUCCAUUAAGAUAUGUAUAGACUCAUGUGCAUUAGCUUAUUUAGCGGGACUGUGGUGCCAACAUUAUAGUAGCCAUGCAUGACCAGUAGUGAUGCUUGCUUUAAGAAUAGUGAAAUCAGUUUCUAGACUAAGCUGGAGCUCAAAACUGUGGAGACCAUUUCAGUAAAAUUAAAGGGUAGUAGAACUGACGUACUAAACCUUUUAAAUACACCACAUCUAGGUAAAGCUUUGCCCUAAAAUCUUAGACUAAGGUAAAAUCUUCUCUUUAUUUCAUGUCUAGGUUGUGCAGAAAAUGCAGCUGAAGCAUGACACAAUCAGGAUAUGCAGUAAUAAAGUAUUGGUUCAAGUCUUUCUAUGUAGGCGUACAUGUUCAAUAUAAGUUAGUGCUUUCUAACAGACCUGCUGUAUGUUCUUAGGAUUCUUAUCUUACAAAAAAGACGUCCUAAAAUGUACUCAUGCACUCUCAAGCAUCAAAAGAAUUAGGUAGUUAAUGAGUGAAAGCCAAAAAGCUCCCAAGAACCCAAGUCUCAGACGUGACAAUGAUAGGAACGUUUAUAGAGAAAUGAUAUAUUAAGAGUAGUACUUUAACCUAGGUUUGGAUCUAAUUGGUAGGGAUCCAACGUGGUGUUUUAGUCCUAGAAUUAAGAUCUCACCAUGACAUUGUGUUGUACAUAAUACCUCAUAGUUUUGGGAUUCCAGAGCAUUAUAUUUUAAUCCAUAAAAUUGUAUUUGAUUAGAGUUUUAGAAGCAAUAACUUACAAUAAUGCAUGAGUUUAGUGCCAGGGUGUAAGUGUUAAAAGGACCCCCCCCCCCCCCUCUUUUAUGCCUAUGCUAGCUAUCUAUCUUUUGGUCACUGUUUUUGGGGAGUCAUAUAACAUUUGGCUUUAGAAUACAGUAUCACUUAUGAAGGUUUGGGAUACUUCCUGCAGAACAAGGUGUGUGUGAGGACUGCUGUAGCAUAAUGGUAUUACAUUGACAAAUUUAACUAGAUACUUAUAUUUUUCAGAGAGUAUUUUCCCUGCCUUGUAUUCUUUCAACACCAAAAAAAAAAAAUCUAAGCCCAUCGGUACAUGAGAGAUGCUUUAAAUUUCAAUUCUUGUAGCAUUUUACAUCCACAAAACCCACCCCUUCCUUUAGAAAUACAGACUUUCAGUAACUCUGUGGCUGCAAAGUACUUAACUGAAUGAACUUGACACUUGUUUGAAAAGCACUUUCUCUCUAUGUACUGACUUGCACCGUCAUCAUCACCAUCCUGUCUUGAAUACUGUGUUCUAAAAACCCUGUAAUGCUCUUUGUGGGGAUUUAUAAUCACAAUUUAUAAGCAAGUAAGCGUCUAGCAACAUGAAUAUAUGGGUUUAAAAAAUAUGCAUGACUUAGCAGAAUAAUGAAUGAUUUGUAUUGCAUGCAAUAAUCCAACUUUGUAAUGUGAAUGAGUGUAAUUAGGAUAUUGAAAUGUUCAUAUCAGAUGUUCUGUGACAAGGUGACAACUUGGGGACGGUUGUUUGACACUAUAGCAAGCAUGUCAAGGUAGUUUUGAUCAUCAGUUGUGGUUUUUACAGACUAAACAGCACCAAAAAAGUAACAGAGAGUAGUUUUAAGUGUUUCUGCUCUCACUCUCUGUUGUGUCAAACAUGACCAUGGCAGUACUGCCACAGUGCAGCUGAAAAACACUGAUCAACCUUUGUUCCCAUGAAAAAAAAAACUAAACAAAACCCAAAAGCCUAAGUAAGAAGAUUAAUGACAUUACUUUGUUGAUCAACUUUUCCACUGAGGAGGUGGACUGUGUAGAAACUAUGCACUCCAGGGGGAGGAAAUGGGCAUGCUUAUUAUGUGUGAGCCUCUUGUCUGGUUUUGUAUCAACUAAAAAAAAAAAGAAUCUGUAUCAGAAAUUCAGCAAUAAAAUGCAGCAUGGUGCCAAUUGGA